AUUGAACGCUGGCGGCAGGCCUAACACAUGCAAGUCGAGCGGAGCGGCGGACGGGUGAGUAAUGCCUAGGAAUCUGCCUGGCAGUGGGGGAUAACGUCCGGACACGGGCGCUAAUACCGCAUACUCUCAGAUGAGCCUAGGUGGGAUUAGCUAUUUCGUGGGGUAAAGGCCUACCAAGGCGACGAUCCGUAACUGGUCUGAGAGGGUGAUCAGUCACACUGGAACUGAGACACGGUGCAGACUCCUACGGGAGGCAGCAGUGGGGAAUAUUGGACAAUGGGCGAAAGCCUGAUCCAGCCAGGCCGCGUGUGUGAAGAAGGUCUUCGGGUUGUAAAGCACUUUAAGUUGGGAGGCGGUAAAAAAAGAAUAAGCACCGGCUAACUUCGUGCCAGCAGCCGCGGUAAUAG
rnacentral:rRNA from 1 species